GCGGAACUGCCAGCGUAAGCUGCGAGGAAGGUGGGGAUGACGUCAAAUCAGCACGGCCCUUACGUCCAGGGCUACACACGUGUUACAAUGGCCAGUACAGAGGGCAGCCACCCCGCGAGGGGGCGCUAAUCCUAAAAGCUGGUCCCAGUUCGGAUCGGAGUCUGCAACCCGACUCCGUGAAGCUGGAUUCGCUAGUAAUCGCGCAUCAGCCACGGCGCGGUGAAUACGUUCCCGGGCCUU
rnacentral:rRNA from 1 species